rnacentral:rRNA from 1 species
AUUGAACGCUGGCGGAAUGCUUUACACAUGCAAGUCGAACGGCAGCACGGGGCAACCUGGUGGCGAGUGGCGAACGGGUGAGUAAUACAUCGGAACGUGCCCAAUCGUGGGGGAUAACGUAGCGAAAGUUACGCUAAUACCGCAUACGAUCUACGGAUGAAAGCGGGGGAUCGCAAGACCUCGCGCGAGUGGAGCGGCCGAUGUCAGAUUAGGUAGUUGGUGGGGUAAAGGCUCACCAAGCCAACGAUCUGUAGCUGGUCUGAGAGGACGACCAGCCACACUGGAACUGAGACACGGUCCAGACUCCUACGGGAGGCAGCAGUGGGGAAUUUUGGACAAUGGGCGCAAGCCUGAUCCAGCCAUUCCGCGUGCAGGAUGAAGGCCUUCGGUUGUAACUGCUUUGUACGAACGAACGGCGAGCUCUAAUACAGUUGCUAAUGACGGUACCGUAAGAAUAAGCACCGGCUAACUACGUGCCAGCAGCGCGGU